CAGCAGCCGCGGUAAUACGAAGGGUGCAAGCGUUAAUCGGAAUUACUGGGCGUAAAGCGUGCGUAGGCGGUUUGUUAAGUCUGUUGUGAAAUCCCCGGGCUCAACCUGGGAAUGGCAAUGGAUACUGGCAAGCUAGAGUGUGUCAGAGGAUGGUGGAAUUCCCGGUGUAGCGGUGAAAUGCGUAGAGAUCGGGAGGAACAUCAGUGGCGAAGGCGGCCAUCUGGGACAACACUGACGCUGAGGCACGAAAGCGUGGGGAGCAAACAGGAUUAGAUACCCCGGUAGUCCCUGUCUCUUACAC
rnacentral:rRNA from 1 species